rnacentral:rRNA from 1 species
GUCCACGCCCUAAACGAUGCAUAUUUGGUGUGGGUCAUUCAGUUGAUCCGUGCCGGAGCUAACGCGUUAAAUAUGCCGCCUGGGGAGUACAGUCGCAAGGCUGAAACUCAAAGGAAUUGACGGGGGCCCCGCACAAGCGGUGGAGCAUGUGGUUCAAUUCGACGCAACGCGAAGAACCUUACCUGGGCUCGAACGGCUGGUCAACGAUCAUGGAAACAUGGUUACUCCGCAAGGAGGUCCAGUCGAGGUGCUGCAUGGCUGUCGU